CCGACCUGAACACGGUUCAGGAAGCAGAAUUUAAUUAGGUUUCUAUCCAAGAAAUCACCAGAAAAGUGCCAUCAUACGAGUCCAUAUGCUGCAGCGUGUUGGGAGCUUUGUUGCAGUAAUAUUUGCGUCUGAGACACUGCACCCACCUGAGCUCCACACCUUCUGGAUCAAUCAACUCGAUCAGUUGUCGUAUUGUGUCUUGUGACACAACAUAUCCUCUCUGAGUUGCACGUAGGUGUAACCAUCCAUAUCCUUGCAUUUGUCCAUUACCAGCAGUUUCAGUUUGCAUGAAUGCAGCCACCUCUUCCAUGCUUGUUUGGUUUUUCCUUCUGAACAAAGACAGUUUUCAGCACAAUCUCUUCAAAGUCCUAAUACUGACAACUACACUGUGUUUAUGAGCUGGAAGACACAUUUGUCGAGGCAGUCAUAUUCACUGUUUGAUGUCGUCUCAAAUGGUUGACUUUGAUCUUAAAAUGUCAACUUUCGUCUUGAAGUGCAUAAUGAAAGUAAUAAAACUUCCCCCUGACAUGUUUCUCUCACCCUUUGCCCUAAUACUCUUCUGUAUGCUUCAGCAUCAGACUGUAGUUCUUAAAAGGGAUAUUCCGGUGUAAAUUUAAUCCAUAGUCUCACACCUUGACACCGAGUACGACCCCCCCUCGAGAGAUAAAGUUUGCGGACCGCUAGCUUACGUAGUUUUAGCAUCCUCAGAAACGACCGCACAACAACAAUACACUGCUGUAAAUGGAUCCAAGUAUAAAUCGCCAUCAAAAAGCCACUAAACUUACACCGGAAUAUCCCUUUAAGAGCAGGUCCUCAUGUGAGCACAGGCUGCAGUUUGGUAUGAACUCCACUAGAGGGCGUCAUCACAUCUCACUUAUUCUCUACAAACCAUUUGGACCAGAGGAGGCUCGUCCAUAGAGGCAGAGGAGGGGUUGUUUUUUUUUAAGAGUAACUGGUUGAAAUAAAUCAUUACCAAAUCUCAAUAUCAUAUAUAAAAUCUUAUAUAUAUAUAUUAUAUCAUUAAGAAAGUUUCUUCUUUGGAAGAAAAUCCACUUAAAACGGUUGAGCAGCUUCAGCUGCAGCCGGAGGAGACAGAGCAGUCUGUGGGAGGAGCAGGGAGCAGGAAGGUGGCGGCUAGAGGAGGACGGAGGGCUUCUGUCCUCCGGGGGAGGAUCUCCUUCCAUUCACUCAAUGCAUUUAGGAUUUUUUUCAUGCUGGUCUAUGAUUGGCUAAGACACAUGAAAUGACACGCUAAGGGAGGACGUCCUCCCUUACCAAUCAGCAACCAGAAUACAAGAUUGACAGCAGGUUGGUCAAAUAACAGUUCCCAAAUUUCAUUCUCACAUUUAUACAACCGUAAACAAAAAAUACUUGUAUGUAUUUUACAGCUUUCACUGCCAGCCAUGCUCGGACAAGAAAUAUGGAGUUUUCAGCGAUAUUGGAAUCGUUUUUGUUUCGUUCGUCCUGCUGGAGGACAUAAAGUCAGCUGCACGACCGGGACACAAUACAGAGCAGCAACACAGUUGUUUUGUGUGAUUGUGAUGAGUGAUGAGUGCGAUGUUCUGUGCUGUUGUGAAGGAUGUAUAUUGACGGCUGUGGUAGCACAGUGGGUAGAGCAGUUGGUUGUCACACAGGUGACUGGGGAUCAAAUCCUGGAGGGGUACACAUUGGUACAAGAUUGAUUGAAAAUGAUCUUUAAGAUUGACAAACAUCAUAUGUGUGAUUCAUGACACAAUUCAGGCAGGAUCAAUAUAUUAUUUGUCUCUCUCAUUUACUACCAUACAAAGUUCUUCUGGUUUAAGGUUCCAUGGGGUCUGAGGGAAGAGGCGAACAGAAUGCUGAAGACGUGCUUUAAAAAAUUAUGUUUCAAGGUCAAGAAAUUCACAAUUUGUCAUAAUUGUAGUAAAAUAUCAUGCAGUUUUGUGUGAAAGCGCUCAGUGAACUUCAUCAUCUCACUCAACACACGUCACCAACAGCAACAUGGCCGCCAACUCAGCACAGCAAAAUUAUAAA